CACGUAGGGCGCAAGCGUUGUCCGGAAUUAUUGGGCGUAAAGAGCUCGUAGGCGGUCUGUUGCGUCUGCUGUGAAAUCCCGGGGCUCAACCCCGGGCGUGCAGUGGAUACGGGCUGGCUAGAGGCAGGCAGGGGAGAACGGAAUUCCCGGUGUAGCGGUGAAAUGCGCAGAUAUCGGGAGGAACACCGGUGGCGAAGGCGGUUCUCUGGGCCUGUACUGACGCUGAGGAGCGAAAGCGUGGGGAGCGAACAGG
rnacentral:rRNA from 1 species